AAGAAAAAGGGGUGAAAAGAACAAAGUUUUGUCCAUCUUUGUUCAUCAUAGCCUAAAGUUAGAGAGGAGAAAGCUCUUGAGUAUUCGGUCAUUAGGAGGAGGAAAAUUGAAGGCGGUUCGUGUGUGGAUCUCGUCAACAUAUCGUCGCAAACAGGAAAUCCCCAACCAUAGUGGGCUUGGAGCUGUGAGGGAAUUCGGAGUGGCCACCCGUUCUGAAAGUUUGAUUUUCUUCUGGUGAACUGGACAUCCUUUUAAUUACGUUUGAGGUUUUGGGCUUUUAAAUGUAAUAAGGCCGCUUAUUUA